UGUGCUUCUCAUUAAAGUACCACACUGUUAUUCUUAAUAGAAAUAUAGGAAAGAGUUGGCAAAGAACUCUUAACUAUUUCAUACUUCUUCUUCCUGUAUAAAUACAAAUAUCAAUCAAAAAGCAUAUCGUUGUAAUAUUUAGUAGAAUUCAAGUAAUACUGUGUAACUAAGUUGAGUGAAUGCAAAGAAUACGUUAAUAAACUUGACGGUGCCAUCUUUCUUUCACUG
rnacentral:lncRNA from 1 species